rnacentral:rRNA from 1 species
AUUGAACGCUGGCGGCAGGCUUUACACAUGCAAGUCGAACGAGCGGCGGACGGGUGAGUAAUGUAUGGGAAACUGCCUGAUGGAGGGGGAUAACUACUGGAAACGGUGGCUAAUACCGCAUACCAUCAGAUGUGCCCAGAUGGGAUUAGCUAGUGGGUGGGGUAAUGGCUCACCCAGGCGACGAUCCCUAGCUGGUCUGAGAGGAGGACCAGCCACACUGGAACUGAGACACGGUCCAGACUCCUACGGGAGGCAGCAGUGGGGAAUAUUGGACAAUGGGGGCAAGCCUGAUGCAGCCAUGCCGCGUGUGUGAAGAAGGCCUUCGGGUUGUAAAGCACUUUCAGCGAGGAGGCGUUACUCGCAGAAGAAGCACCGGCUAACUCCGUGCCAGCAGCCGCGGUAAUUC